rnacentral:rRNA from 1 species
AUUGAACGCUGGCGGAAUGCUUUACACAUGCAAGUCGAACGGCAGCACGGGGGCAGCCCUGGUGGCGAGUGGCGAACGGGUGAGUAAUACAUCGGAACGUGCCCGGUCGUGGGGGAUAACGUAGCGAAAGUUACGCUAAUACCGCAUACGAUCUGAGGAUGAAAGCGGGGGACCUUCGGGCCUCGCGCGAUCGGAGCGGCCGUUGUCAGAUUAGGUAGUUGGUGGGGUAAAGGCCUACCGAGCCGACGAUCUGUAGCUGGUCUGAGAGGACGACCAGCCACACUGGGACUGAGACACGGCCCAGACUCCUACGGGAGGCAGCAGUGGGGAAUUUUGGACAAUGGGCGCAAGCCUGAUCCAGCCAUUCCGCGUGCAGGACGAAGGCCUUCGGGUUGUAAACUGCUUUUGUACGGAACGAAAAGGCUCUGGCUAAUACCUGGGGCUCAUGACGGUACCGUAAGAAUAAGCACCGGCUAACUACGUG